rnacentral:rRNA from 1 species
UACAGAGGUGCUCAAGCGUUGUUCGGGAUUCAUUGGGCGUAAAGGGUGCGUAGGCGGCGCGGUAAGUCGGGGUGUGAAAUUUCGAGGCUUAACUUCGAAACUGCAUUCGAUACUGCCGUGCUUGAGGACUGGAGAGGAGACUGGAAUUUACGGUGUAGCGGUGAAAUGCGUAGAUAUCGGGAGGAACACCAGUGGCGAAGGCGGCUUCCUGGCCUGGCUCUUGACGCUGAGGCGCGAAAGCUAGGGUACGCAAACGGG